GGAUGCUAUCAUACCAGCACUAAAGCACGGGAUCCCAUCAGAACUCCGAAGUUAAGCAUGCUUGGGCGAGAGUAGUACUAGGAUGGGUGACCUCCUGGGAAGUCCUCGUGUUGCAUUCC
rnacentral:rRNA from 1 species